rnacentral:rRNA from 1 species
UACGAAGGGUGCAAGCGUUACUCGGCAUUACUGGGCGUAAAGCGUGCGUAGGCGGUGAUUUAAGUCUGAUGUGAAAUCCCCGGGCUCAACCUGGGAAUGGCAUUGGAAACUGGGUCGCUAGAGUACGGUAGAGGGUGGUGGAAUUCCCGGUGUAGCAGUGAAAUGCGUAGAGAUCGGGAGGAACAUCUGUGGCGAAGGCGGCCACCUGGACCAGUACUGACGCUGAGGCACGAAAGCGUGGGGAGCAAACAGG